UUUUUGGCAGAGAUAGUGCAAUAGAUCCACCUGAUACCAUACCGAACUCAGAAGUGAAAUGUUGUAACGCUGAUGGUAGUGUGGGGUUUCCCCAUGUGAGAGUAAGGCACUGCCAAUCAU
rnacentral:rRNA from 2 species